GCGCGGUUAGCUCAGGUGGAUAGAGCGUUGGCCUCCGAAGCCAAAGGCCGCAGGUUCGAGUCCUGCACCGCGCACCA
rnacentral:tRNA from 1 species